rnacentral:rRNA from 1 species
UACGUAGGGGGCGAGCGUUGUCCGAAGUUACUGGGCGUAAAGCGCGCGUAGGCGGUUUUUUAAGUCUGGGGUGAAAGGUUCAGCGCUCAACGUGAACAGUGCCUUGGAUACUGGAAGACUUGAAUCUGGAAGAGGGUAGUGGAAUUCCUGGUGUAGCGGUGAAAUGCGUAGAUAUCAGGAGGAACACCAAUGGCGAAGGCAGCUACCUGGUCUAAGAUUGACGCUGAGGUGCGAAAGCGUGGGGAGCAAACGGG